rnacentral:rRNA from 1 species
CCUACGGGGGGCAGCAGUGGGGAAUUUUGGACAAUGGGCGCAAGCCUGAUCCAGCCAUUCCGCGUGAGUGAAGAAGGCCUUCGGGUUGUAAAGCUCUUUCGCAAGGGAAGAAAACUUAUCCUCUAACAUAGGAUGAGGUUGACGGUACCUUGAUAAGAAGCACCGGCUAACUACGUGCCAGCAGCCGCGGUAAUCCGUAGGGUGCGAGCGUUAAUCGGAACGACUGGGCGUAAAGUUGUAGCACGCAUGUGAAAUCCCCGAGCUCAACUUGGGAACUGCGUUUGAAACUACAAGACUAGAGUAGGGCAGAGGGGGGUAGAAUUCCACGUGUAGCAGUGAAAUGCGUAGAGAUGUGGAGGAAUAUCAAUGGCGAAGGCAGCCCCCUGGGAUCAUAUUGACGCUCAUGCACGAAAGCGUGGGGAGCAAACAGGAUUAGAUACCCCGGUAGUC